UGAGUUUGAUCAUGGUUCCGAAUGAACGUUUGCGGCGUGCUUAACACAUGCUAGUCGUACGAUGAACUCUUUAGCUUGCUAAAGAUAGUAAAGUGGCGCUCGGGUGAGUAACGCGUGGGUAAUCUACCUCUGAAUUUGGGAUAACUCCGCGAAAAGCGGGGUUAAUACCGGAUAAUAUUUCAGGAUUUUCGGGGCUUGAAAUCAAAAGAUGGCCUCUACAUGUUAGCUACUGUUUGGUAGAUGAGCCCGCGCACCAUUAGCUUGCAGGAAGGGAAAUAGGCUAACCAAGGCUUUCGAUGGUUAUGUGUGUUUGUAUAGUAUUUAUCUAGCCACAUUGUAUCUGACACCUCGGGCCGGACUCCUACUUGGGGUUACGUGAA
rnacentral:rRNA from 1 species